rnacentral:rRNA from 1 species
UACGGAAUGUGCAAACGUUAUUCGGAAUCACUGGGCUUAAAGAGUCCGUAGGCGGCAUGUUAGGUGAGGUGUGAAAUCCCCCCGGCUCAACCGAGGAAUUGCGCUUCAAACCGGCGUGCUAGAGGAAGAUAGAGGUGGGCGGAACUGAUGGUGGAGCGGUGAAAUGCGUUGAUAUCAUCAGGAACACCGGGAGGCGAAGGCGGCCCACUGGGUCUUUUCUGACGCUGAGGGACGAAAGCUAGGGGAGCGAACGGG